GCGUAACUGCGCUUCUCGUUAGGAAUCAAUAUCCCCGGGGCCUUAAUGAUCCUGAAGGGAGCUGUCCCCGCCCGAACCCGUGGGUUUGGGCACACGGCGCCCACCUACGUUGUAGGUUUCCCGGGAUCACACUUCCGACGGUCGUUCGCGGGCGCCAC
rnacentral:other from 1 species